GACGAACGCUGGCGGCGUGCUUAACACAUGCAAGUCGAACGGAAAGGCCCUGCUUUUGUGGGUUGCUCGAGUGGCGAACGGGUGAGUAACACGUGAGUAACCUGCCCUUGACUUUGGGAUAACUUCAGGAAACUGGGGCUCAUACCGGAUAGGAUCUCCUGCUGCAUGGUGGGGGUUGGAAAGUUUCGGCGGUUGGGGAUGGACUCGCGGCUUAUCAGCUUGUUUGUGGGGUAGUGGCUUUCCAAGGCUUUGACGGGUAGCCGGCCUGAGAGGGUGACCGGCCACAUUGGGACUGAGAGACGGCCCAGACUCCUAAGGGAGGCAGCAGUGGGGAAUAUUGCAAAAUGGGCGGAAGCCUGAUGCAGCAACGCCGCGUGCGGGAUGACGGCCUUCGGGUUGUAAACCGCUUUCGCCUGUGACGAAGCGUGAGUGACGGUAAUGGGUAAAGAAGCACCGGCUAACUACGUG
rnacentral:rRNA from 1 species